rnacentral:rRNA from 1 species
UCGAGAAUCUUCCGCAAUGGGCGAAAGCCUGACGGAGCGACGUUACGUGAAUGAUGAAGCCCCUCGGGGUGUAAAGUUCUUUUAUGUGGGAGGAAGUUAUUGACAGUACCACAUGAAUAAGAGGAUCCUAAUUCUGUG